GACGAACGCUGGCGGCGUGCCUAAUACAUGCAAGUCGAACGCACUCUCGUUUAGAUUGAAGGAGCUUGCUCCUGAUUGAUAAACAUUUGAGUGAGUGGCGGACGGGUGAGUAACACGUGGGUAACCUGCCCUAAAGUGGGGGAUAACAUUUGGAAACAGAUGCUAAUACCGCAUAAAACCUAACACCGCAUGGUGUAGGGUUGAAAGAUGGUUUCGGCUACCACUUUAGGAUGGACCCGCGGUGCAUUAGUUAGUUGGUGAGGUAAAGGCUCACCAAGACCGUGAUGCAUAGCCGACCUGAGAGGGUAAUCGGCCACACUGGGACUGAGACACGGCCCAGACUCCUACGGGAGGCAGCAGUAGGGAAUCUUCCACAAUGGACGAAAGUCUGAUGGAGCAACGCCGCGUGAGUGAAGAAGGUUUCGGAUCGUAAAACUCUGUUGUUGGAGAAGAAUGUAUCUGAUAGUAACUGAUCAGGUAGUGACGGUAUCCAA
rnacentral:rRNA from 1 species